GUAUAUGGGCUUGAUCCAAAGCCUAUUGAAGUUAGUGGGAAUCUUUCCACUGACUCCGCUGGGCUUUAUAUCAGGCCUUAUUGUU
rnacentral:pre_miRNA from 1 species